CGCUUGCUCCUGAGCGAGGCAGGACGAGCCCCUCCAAAUUCAGCCUCAAGCCCACCACUGCCAGCCCCAGAGAGAGCGGGGACAGCAGUCAGUCAGGAGGAACCUGAACCAGAGACCGCGCUGGAAACAAUGGCAUGAGCUUGUAGGGAACAGACAGAGGGCACAGCCAAAGGCAGUGUUGUUUGUCCUACCUCUGGGUCCAGCCGUGCGGAACAGGAGCAAAGGGCGAGUUUUCCAUGAGCACGCGUAAUGUGUCUGGGAACAGUGUUCCUACCAGAAAACACGCAGGGAAGAAGCUGAGGAAAAGGAGAAGCAGCAGCAAGGGUGGCUGGUUAAGAAAGAGCUGCUGUACGCCUUCCCUACCAAAACAAGGGGUGAAAAGGGUCAAAGAGCUCUCCUGUGCCAGCUGCUCCUGGUCUUCUGCUCACCAGCUCCCGGGCGAGCAGCCGAGGAGGCAGAUGCUCCCCGCAGAGCAGAGCCUGGCUGGAGCAGCCCUGUCGCUGCAGAUAGAGGUGCCUUGCAGCAAUCCCGAUGGGCAGCGAAGGGCAGAGCCCAACCAUUAACAUUUGCUCCCAGCUCUGCUCCUUUCAUAUUCGAGGAUUUAAACCCAUACCUUACCACAGCAAGUUUAAUUUAGUCUUUAAUAUUCACGACCGUCGGCUGGUCCAGGCAUGGUGAGCCUGCGGCAGGGGCAGGUACACACAGCCUGCCAGCGCGGAGACCCCCUGGGGAAGGCUCUGGGCGCAAGAGCCCCCAGCAGCCGGCACUCCCCCCGCCAACCCCGCAGACACUCACUUGGCUUCCUUUGCUCCAUGACGGGAAUACUGAAAUACUCCUUUUCAGAAAAGGCCUUUCUCACAGCAAACCAAAACCUCCUCGAACCCUGAUGUAGCUUUUUCAAAGUAGCCCAUCGCGCUGUGACAAGAACGGAGGGUUUCUCGAGGCUUUUUUCUUUUUAUUCAUCUGCACAGGACGAUUUUCUCUGCGUAAGUCAGGGCACAGACAAGUUUCCCUGGUAAUUUCAGGGGAAAUCCAUUAACUACAUCUGUCCUUUACCACCAGCUGUUUCUCCAGUUUCUCAAGGACUUUAAUUGGUCCUUUCACUUGGCUCCUGUUAGAACAAAAUUUGCAAGGCUUUACUUCCCAACAACAGGAUUAUUCUCCUACUGUUCAUCAAAAACAGCAGAACCCGUCACAGUUGCCCAGCACCAGUGUGGCCACUCCUGCUGUCACCCCCUUAAUCCCAGCACCACUCCUCAUCGCAAGCAUCUGCCACAGAUGGGGAGUUUAGGGAGCAAAAGGUUCCUAGGGAGGUUCUCAGGAAGGGCCCCAGGCACAGGAACACUGCCCUCUCCUUCACACCCUAAAGGGCUGAACACGGGGCGGGGGGGGUCAGCAGCAAGGGGGAACUCGGGACGCCUGCUUUGGUGCCAGCAAGCGGCAGGCUGGGGUGGCCACGCUGCGUGCGGCAUCGUGGCCCUUGUUUGACAAGUCCCCUGAGCAGACGGGUCAUCCAUCGGGUUUAGGCUGGCGAAAUGGAGCUCGAGACCCAGAGGGGGGCGGCUGGAUACUGCUUUCUGACAAGGAGAGCGGAGCCGUCACAUAUUUCUGUCACAACAAGCAGCAUGCAGAGGCACAACCCAACAUGGGUUUGCUCGAGAAAAUCAACUAACACUAAGGGAGAAGUCGAUGAGUGUGAGAUGUCACCUAGGGGGGCUUCCUGGAGGUCACUUACUCCUUUCCUUUGUCUCACAGGGCAGAUGUUUUGCGAAACUGCUCAAAAUAUCUUCACUGUCAGACUCCGCCACCUCCCAGCUUUGUGUCUGCUGCACAGAGAGACUACUGACUGUCAGCUGGUCGGGAAGAGGCUCUGAUGGGCAGGGAAUGAAAGAGAAAUCCUUUGGAAAGCCAGCUGAAAGCAGCAGAUAUAAGGUAAGAGGAUUCAGUUGCCGCUUUUAAAUUUCAGCGUCAUCUUUCAUCAACAAAUGUAUGCUUGACCAGCCACGGCCCCUGUAGCCCAUCGUGCUGUUUUUAAGGUAAAAGCCUGCACCUUCCCGAGACAGAUGUUCUGGGAAGACCUCUGACCUCCUGAAGACAAGACCCAGUUUCACCCCACAGAAGAGCCUGCUGCAAUCACGAAGAAGCCCCAGGAGCUGCAAGGAGAGUCAGGGAGAGCAAGGUGGCAUUCCCAGCCCCAGGAAGGAGAACUCUGAAUGGGUCCAUACAAAUCCUGGCAAACUUCCUACAGAGCGGAUUUUAGGCAAGAAAAGGACACAGCUGGGUUAUUCAGCAAAGCAGGCACGUGUUGAAGUUGCAAGAGCACAAUUUCUCCUGCUGACAAGCACCCAAACACCGGAGGAACAACAGCCAAGCUGAAAGCUUUCAGCCACUUCUGCUCUCAGGUCAGGGCAAGUUGGGAGCUGCUUUUGCAAACUCCAGCCCAACUUGAUCAAACACCAGCAACAGACCUGACAGCACCUUAGACAGCCCGUGGCCGAUGGGCUUGUUGGACAGACACCACACACGGAGGAGCCCAUGCAUACACGGUUUUGAGCAGACUCAAACACUGAGCCGCAACAGAAGAUGGAGAAGCCAUUGCCACAGACAGGAUGAGCAAGGUCCAGUUCACUACAAUCAGACUGAGAAGAUCAGGCAUCACGUCUGCAACAGCUUAAAAAACCCCAAAAGUACAUUAAGUUUUAAAGUUGUAAAUUUUAAAAAGCUGGGGAGCAGGAGAGGUCUGCUCGCAGAGAGGACCCACCUUGUUGACCAAGGACAUGAGGUUUGACCUGGGAGGCACAGGGAGCUGGGUGCUGCUAGGAGGAAAAAAACCCCCAAUGCUUAAGGAAAGGAAAAAAAACCAGUUAGUGAGUGAUUUGGGACAAUCUUGCUGUUUAAGGGUUUUCCGCCACCAUUCCCUUGGGUGAGCAGCAGGUCCCGUGCUGAGGGCGGGCGGUGGCAGCCGUGACAUGCUGGGCAGCUGCAGCUGGCCGCAGUGAGUGGCACGCUCACCCUGCCGUCGCCAUGUGGGGCUUCCAGCGGGGCUCCCGGCUGCUGGCCAGUGCGCUGCGGAUCCCGCGGGCCCCCCAGGUGCAGAUCACCUCCAAGCCACCCGAACACCCAGUCUCAGCUGCUGAACAAACCAUCGCGCUUUCUGUGAUGUCUGCGUGCUUCCUGUUGCCAACAGCCUGGAUCCUGGCACACAUCCAACACUACAAGAGCAGACCAGAGUAAGAAGUGGCAAGAAGAACCCGCACCCUGUAAAGACCACAGAAGAGAUCUUCACCGGCAAGGAAGCCUUUGAGUUUGUUCAUUAAAAUUCACAUUAACACUCAGCAUAAUGGCCUGUUGGUUUUGCUUCAGCCGUGAGCUUGUUCACUGGGGAAUGGGUCUGUAAUCCUGCUCUGUUGGGUGGCACACUGUUCCUUUGCGAGUCUGCAGCAGGCUCCAGCCUGGACGUGUAUUUCCCACUGGAGCUUUUAGCUCGUUCAUUGCAGUGAAGCACAGGGCAGAUACCAAGGAACCACUCACAGCACUAGCAAGGAAGCAAAACCAAGUUAAAUUCCUAGCAAGAAAACACUCAAAGGCUGUAAGUGACAUUUAAAACUGUCUGCAGCCUGGGUGCUACACACGCAUCUUUUCCUCCUGUGUGAAGAGCCUCCCUGCCUCCAAGAAACACACACCCAAUUUCCCAAAUUAUUUCUGUUAGGGAAGCAGCCAGCCAGCACUCUGUGCCACACAGGAAGGUCUGGGUAGCAAAUACUACUUCCAGGUAUCUUGGAAAAAACCUCUGAAACUGUUGUAAUGCACUUAGACUGCAGAUCUUCACACUCACUUCAGUGACCUGCUCAAAAAUUUACAUACAAGCAAGUGCUCCCCACAGUACAAGAGCUGUCAAAGUAGUCUCAGGAGAGCACACGUACCAUUUCAACAGCAACAUUUCAGGGGUUUUGACACUCAUCUAAAGCAACAGCAGCCCUACGACACACAAGCUUUGCCACACAGCUGGCAUUUUAUUUACUCCUAACAUGUAGUGACACGACACUGCUAAGGAGAUUGUACUUUUAAAGCCUUUUUCCUGUCCUUAGCCACAAAACAAAGGGAACAUUUUUCUGAUCUCAACACUUGUCUCCUCCACGUGCUCUUCGAAGUCAGUAAAAGUGACAUCAGGAACGAGCUUUGGAAGGCGAAAUGAAGCAUGAACUAGGGAAAGUCAAACUGCACCCACAGAACACAGCGCGGCUCUGCACGCUUCAGCAGCUGAACCUGCAAGGGCAGAGCAAAGUGACCGAACUGAUGGGCUGGACAGGGAAGAGGCAGGCAUUCAGACCUGGACAAAUCCAAAACAUGAAGGAGUUUAGGCCAGAAUUCAUUAGAGGCAGAAGGGUGGAGGGUGACCAGGCACAGGAUCUGACAAUUGGGGUGUUUAUUCAUUUUAUAAACCUGAAGUCUCCCUUGCCUGCGACAUCCUCAUACCUGCACAGCAGCCUGGCAUCAGCCACGUGCCUGCUUUUUUCCAUUGCCGACAUUAAACCCUCAGAGUCAAGACAGCAAAAUGUAAAAAUUCCAGUGGUACAGUUUGUCAGGGCGAUACCAGAGAAUCCAACUGAUAACCAGAGCUCCGGAAUCACAGCAGUAACCAAACUGGCAGCGUGAAGCAAGAAUGGAUACACCGAUAAACCAUGCUUCUUGAAGCACAGAGACACCACCAGCAGCAUUUAAAGAUCUACUUACAUUCUGAGUAAUUCAACCAGGUAUUCAUUCAAUUUAAAGUUACUGUUAUAACCCUUAGUGUAGUUUGCCAUUACUGCCUUAUAAUCAGGAGUAUUACACAUCCAAACGGAUACUUGGAGGCAGCCCCCAGUUCAGAUCUGCCUUUGUUUCAAAUUCUUGAUGUGUGCAAUUAUCUUCCAUCCCUAUAAAGGCAUCGCAGUAGGGCAAAACAAUUACAUUACAGAAAGCUUUUGAAGUAGCAGUUGUUAAGAGGCAAGAGCAGAACAAGAACUUGUUGUCUCAGGCCUUCUUUAGGCCUUUUCAGGCAGUAAUGAUUAUUCAGCUUGAGAAAAGGCAUCAGGACAACAGUUUCCCACAAAAGAAAGGAACUUGACAAAGUACGUACCAAGGUACUACAUGCUAAGUAAACUACAUACCAAUCCCACUGGUGAUUAACAGACUGUUUAAACCUGUGUUGUUCUUGGACAGAGUUUUGUAACAUGAAAUCUAAAAGGAAGCAUAUUUUUAAAUGGAUCAGAGGCUCAACUGCACGUUACGAAGACGACAAACUACAGAAAAGGGAAGGCAGAGAAGUUUAUUCCAGCAAUACUGCUGCAACUCACUUUAGCACAAAGUGUUCAUAAAAGACAACCACCCCAAAAGUAUAUAAAAACACAUCCACUAAACGGUAAUCCUGGAAAAAACCCUUUGAUGGAGUAAACACUCCCUCUACUGCAGAUGAGGAGGAGGGGUUGUGGAGAAAGAGGGCAAAAGGAGAAAGAUGAUUUCAGUAAUGCUGCCUUCGGGCUGCUGCAGGGGCAGGGGGAGAGAGGUUACCAGGGAAGGUCGCACCUUCCUAAGGCCAACGCCACCAAGUAACACCACGUACACUGACCGUCAGGCACCUCUCUAGCACAUUCUCAUAAAGGAACUUCUGCUACCCCUGUACCCGGCAAAGAGCCUCCGCUCCUCCAACAUGCAACAAGCAUCACAUCCUCCCCCAACAGCCUGAUAGCAAGACUGAUCAGCCAGCCACCGCGGAGCCUCUGUCCUCCUUUCACGAGCGGGAUGGGAGCUCUCGUGGUCAGUGCCACCAAUGAUAGCGCAUAGGGAAAUCUUGACUCCAAGCACCAAAGGGUUACACAGCAAAAGGCCACUUACUCCUCCAAACAAGCGUCAAAAAGCUGCUCUCCCCUCUGCCCACCCACCCCCCUUCAAUAUAAUUCAGUA